rnacentral:rRNA from 1 species
UACAGAGGUCUCAAGCGUUGUUCGGAUUCAUUGGGCGUAAAGGGUGUGUAGGUGGCGCGCUAAGUCGGGUGUGAAAUUUCGGAGCUUAACUCCGAAACUGCAUUCGAUACUGCGGUGCUUGAGGACUGGAGAGGAGACUGGAAUUCCUGGUGUAGCGGUGAAAUGCGCAGAUAUCAGGAGGAACACCGAUGGCGAAGGCAGGUCUCUGGGCCAUAACUGACGCUGAGAAGCGAAAGCAUGGGGAGCGAAAAGG